CAGUAGCCGCGGUAAUACGUAGGGUGCAAGCGUUAAUCGGAAUUACUGGGCGUAAAGCGUGCGCAGGCGGUUAUAUAAGACAGAUGUGAAAUCCCCGGGCUCAACCUGGAACUGCAUUUGUGACUGUAUAGCUAGAGUACGGCAGAGGGGGAUGGAAUUCCGCGUGUAGCAGUGAAAUGCGUAGAUAUGCGGAGGAACACCGAUGGCGAAGGCAAUCCCCUGGGCCUGUACUGACGCUCAUGCACGAAAGCGUGGGGAGCAAACAGGAUUAGAUACCCCCGUAGUCCCUGUCUCUUAUACA
rnacentral:rRNA from 1 species